rnacentral:rRNA from 1 species
AGUGAACGCUGGCGGUAGGCCUAACACAUGCAAGUCGAACAGCAGCACAGUAAGAGCUUGCUCUUACGGGUGGCGAGUGGCGGGCGGGUGAGGAAUACAUCGGAAUCUACUUUUUCGUGGGGGAUAACGUAGGGAAACUUACGCUAAUACCGCAUACGACCUACGGGUGAAAGCAGGGGAUCUUCGGACCUUGCGCGAUUGAUUGAGCCGAUGUCGGAUUAGCUAGUUGGCGGGGUAAAGGCCCACCAAGGCGACGAUCCGUAGCUGGUCUGAGAGGAUGAUCAGCCACACUGGAACUGAGACACGGUCCAGACUCCUACGGGAGGCAGCAGUGGGGAAUAUUGGACAAAGGGCGCAAGCCUGAUCCAGCCAUACCGCGUGGGUGAAGAAGGCCUUCGGGUUGUAAAGCCCUUUUGUUGGGAAAGAAAAGCAGCAGGUUAAUACCCCGCUGUUCUGACGGUACCCAAAGAAUAAGCACCGGCUAACUUCGUG